UAGCUUCACAACCUUCCCAACUCCAUACCUCAGAAAGCUAGAAAGCCUCUACCAAGGAAUUGGACCUGAACAGAUUUGGUGACAGCAGUGGGAUAUGAAGUGAAUGUCUGAUGGCAUUUGGGACAACAAGAAAUGCAGCCAUGGUACCCGUGAACCUGAGUUCAUUAUCCUUCUCAUCACUUUCAAAAGCUGUGGAUAAAUGGAUAAUGAAGAUGUGGUACAUAUAUACAGUGGAAUAAUGCUCAGCCAUAAAAAAGAACAAAAUAACAUGGAUGGACCUAGAGAUGAUGAUACUAAAUGAAGUUUCAUCAAUGAACAUGGAUUUUCUUUUUAAUUUAGAAAGAUGGUAAUGAUGAUCCUAUACACAAGGCAGCAAAAGAGACACAGAUGUAAAGAAAAGACUUUCGGACUACGUGGGAGAAGGCAAGGGUGGGAUGAUUUGAGAGAAUAGCAUUGAAACAUGUAUCUUACCAUAAGCAAAAUAGAG
ensembl:lncRNA